UACGUAGGUGACCAGCGUUGUCCGGAUUUACUGGGCGUAAAGAGCGCGCAGGCGGUCGUUCAAGUCGAGUGUGAAAGCCCCCGGCUCAACUGGGGAGGGUCACUCGAUACUGAUCGACUUGAAGGCAGGAGAGGGAAGCGGAAUUCCCGGUGUAGUGGUGAAAUGCGUAGAUAUCAGGAGGAACACCUGCGGUGUAGACGGCUUACUGGACCAUCACUGACGCUGAGGCACGAAAGCGUGGGUAGCAAACAGG
rnacentral:rRNA from 1 species